UCUGUGAGGGUGGACCCAUUCUCCUUCUGUACACACACACUAGUCACACACCCAUUUGCUUACUGGACACUGUCAGAGCACAGCUACAGGACUAUAAAAGGAAAAGUCACCUGAGUCCUCCCCACACUCAAGAUGAAACUCAUUUUGCUGGUCAUUCUACUCACAGUGAGGCACAUCUGCUCCUAACAGCACUGAUUUGCUUCAAAAGAGGAUGAUGACAUCCAAGGGACUCUGCAUGGACUUUGCUUUCUGUAUAGCAAAAGCUAGCUGUGUGGACAAAUAAACUCCCUCGCUUCAAUUGCUGACAGUAUACUGUACAGACUGGACCAGCAGGACCCAAAAGAAGGCGAUUGCCAAACCCAUCCAAGACAAGAUGAAGACAAAGCCUUGAGGACUUGAUCUGCAACAGUGACUGAGAGGCCACCAUCUGCUUCUCCAAGGCUCUAACAACAAGGAGAACAAAAACAUUUGGUGUUAGACUUGUCACCUCAUUUACUGCCUACACCAUCCCUGCAUACCUGGUUGUGUUCACCACACACUGUACCCUCUAAUAAAGAACCUAUCAAA